rnacentral:rRNA from 1 species
GACGGGGCCCGCACAAGCGUGGAGCAUGUGGUUUAAUUCGAAGCAACGCGAAGAACCUUACCAGGCCUUGACAUGCAGAGAACUUUCCAGAGAUGGAUUGGUGCCUUCGGGAACUCUGACACAGGUGCUGCAUGGCUGUCGUCAGCUCGUGUCGUGAGAUGUUGGGUUAAGUCCCGUAACGAGCGCAACCCUUGUCCUUAGUUACCAGCACGUUAUGGUGGGCACUCUAAGGAGACUGCCGGUGCAAACCGGAGGAAGGUGGGGAUGACGUCAAGUCAUCAUGGCCCCUACGGCCUGGGCUACACACGUGCUACAAUGGUCGGUACAAAGGGUUGCCAAGCCGCGAGGUGGAGCUAAUCCCAUAAAACCGAUCGUAGUCCGGAUCGCAGUCUGCAACUCGACUGCGUGAAGUCGGAAUCGCUAGUAAUCGUGAAUCAGAAUGUCACGGUGAAUACGUUCCCGGGCCUU